rnacentral:rRNA from 1 species
CCCUUAGAUGUUCUGGGCCGCACGCGCGCUACACUGUUCGACGCAGCGAGUCUUAACCUUGACCGAAAGGUUUGGGUAAUCUUCAGCAAGGUCGAACGUGAUGGGGAUCGAUCAUUGCAAUUAUUGAUCGUGAACGAGGAAUUCCUAGUAAGUGCAAGUCAUCAGCUUGCGCUGAUUACGUCCCUGCCCUUUGUACACACCGCCCGUCGCUACUACCGAUUGAAUGGUUUAGUGAGAUCUCUGGAUUGACGCUGGCUAGGGGGCGACCCUUGGCCAGACUGCUCGAGAAACUGCUCAAACUUGAUCAUUUAGAGGAAGUAAAAGUCGUAACA